CUCUCGAAGCUUCUUCUCUCUCCCUCUCGAAUCUGCACUCGUCUCUCACCAGCUAAAUCCACCAUCGCCUCUUUGCCCUCCUUCCCGAUGAUGCAGAUCUGAGGGUGAAUCGAAGGUAAAUCGCCGAGAUAUGUCGAUUCGCUCGAUUUUGAAUGGAGAUUUGCUCGAUUUUGAAUGGAAGGGACAACUGGAGGCGUGGAUCGAAUGCAAGGUGAUUGAAGAUAAGUGCAGAGAACAUUUUCAAGGCGAUUUAGCCUUUGAAGGAAAAUUGGGAGCAUCGAAACAUGAGCGAUGCUGUUGAAUCUAUGAUGCGGAUCCUGCUUCCUGCGUUCUUUUUGGUGAGAUCUGCCCUAUUUUGGAUCUUUUCUUUAUGCACAGAUUGUCAUAUGUGGGAUUAUGAUGCAAUUGUACUGUGGGAAGUGAUAAUUGGUGGCUGAAAUGAUAUGAUUAUGCUCAUUCUAUGUGCUGUGUCCGAAAAUGGUGCAUCGAUGAUUACAAUCUGAAAUUGUAUGAGAUGAAACCCUAAUUUGAUCUUGCAUGUUCCACUUCUUGCUUAUGGUUUGGUUUUGUAUGGUCUUUGUGUUGUGUGUAGUGCAUCUUUGCCCUGUUGGAUGGCCUAUUUGAUGGUAGCUGCUUGUAGCAGUGUAUUUUAUGUUGGUAUCUGCUUGUAGCAGUGUAAUAUGUGUAACCUGUGCAUACAUUACAAAAAAUUGUGCUAUAAAAUCUCAAAAUAACAAUCUGAAAUUGUUUUUCCAUUAGCAACCUGUGCAUACAUUACAAAAAAGCUUUGUGCAUCUGUGCAUAUGUGCAUCUGUGCAUCUAUUACAAAAAAGCUUUGUGCAUCUGUGCAUAUGUGCAUAUGUGCAUUACAAAAACAUGAGCAUUCACUUUACAAAAACAACAACAAGCUUCAAAUCUUCAAAAUGCACCACUGCCCCCUUGAAUUUGUAGCUGCUGCAUGCUACAAGUCAGCCCCUCAGUUGUGCCUCCAAUCAUGCCUAUAGGCAGCUGCAAUAAGAAACUUUCACUCCCAUUAAUGCUCCCCUGCUCAAUUAGGUAGGCUAUGCAUUCCCUAACAAGCCUUGAAUCAACUUCAAGGUUUAAAGGAAGCAUAUCCUGCCUAAUCAAGGCAUCCUUCUUCAAAUGUGGAAUUUUGUAGCAGUUUUGACCUUUGACCUUGAGUAUCUCAAUCAUGCAACUUUGUAGGCUAAGAAAAACCUUAUUCAAGGUUUGUGCACUUAACUGUUGAUAUGAAUUUUGAACAGCCAUAAGUAAGUCAGCCACAUUGUUGCAAACUGAUUCAGUUUGCAGCGAUUGUAUGGCCCUGAACCACCCCAAAUCAUUUAUGUUGGUGUCGGGUGAGUUUGGUGGUUGAUGCACCAGGUGUAUGUCAAAGCCAUCACUAGAGGCAGCUGCCCUGAAAUCAGGGUCAUUGUCUUUAAUGUGUGGCCGCGCAUUAUCCUGUUGUAUGUAGAUGACUUUGCUAGCAAAACUUGGCCACUUUGCCUUUAUAGCAGGUAUAAUCUGAAAUUACAUUAAAAUAAGCAAUGAAAUGAUAUUACAUGGAUAAUACAAUCUGAAAUUACAUGGAUACUACUCAUAAAUGGAAAUGAUUUGGACUCCAAGCAUGUUAUUGGAACAUUCCUUGCAUAAAUCAUGCAUUAUCCAUACCUUGUUAAUAAGGCAAUCCUUCACCACUUCUUUGGUGAUACUUUGAAUGGGUUUCCACUCCAUUGUGCCUGCCUCCCUGUUCUUACUCUUCCUCUUUGCUGGUACCAGUUCAGUAAAUGGAAAAAUGCCUAUUUUUCCAUCAAAUAGGCAUUCUCCAUCAGGGCCAAAGAUAGGCCUACACACUGCACACAUAAACAUCACCUUGGUGAUGAAUUUUUUGCUUUUACAGGUUCUAUGAGGCUCGGUCUCUGCAGGGGUUAAGUAAAACCUUUGGUUGGACUUGGUUAUGUAGAACCAUUUCUCAUCAAUGUGGAUUGUGUUGUGCAUAUUUUUAAAUGUCACACUCCUCAUAAUCCUAUCAUACUCUAGGGCCUCUAAUGAAAACUGUAGCCUAAGCAACUUGUUAGGAGCGGUAAGAUCGGGUUUUAUGGCAUUUGAAUGAGCUUUGAUCAGCCCUAACUUAAUCCAUCUUCCCACAGUACUUUUGCUACAUUGGAUACCACAUGCAAGCCUCCGAAUGGUAGAUCUUUUGGACAAGUCUAAGCUAGCAAUUAACUGUAAAUCUAAUUGCACUCUUUUCUGCCUUGGUCUAUGUAUUUUUCGACUAAUGGAACUUAUUACCUCACCCUGCUGUAUUUGCUUUUUUGCAGCUGCCCAAACCCGAUUGAUAGUGCUUCGUGAGCUGCUCCAUUUUGUGAUAGCUGCUGCAAUCUUCCCCCUAGAAGGCUUCCCCUUCUUGCUGUCUUCAAGGAGGAACUGGAUUAUGGCUGCUCUCUCAAAUGUAGAGAGAUCUUUUCUCCUAGCCAUUCUGCCGUUUUGUAGUUUUUGUGCCUUUGUGGCUGUUAAUUUUGUGUCUUUGAAAACUGAAUUUGUCCUUAUUUAUAAAGGGGAGGAAGUUGUAAAGUGUGGGAAAUUUGAAGAUUUCCCAAAAUUUCAAUGAAAAUGCAGUCUGCCGCCAUUUUUUGAUCCA